GGUAAGAUGGCUGAAAUUUAGGUGAUAGACUGUAAAUCUAUUUAUGAGAAUGUUUUCUCUCUUACCA
rnacentral:tRNA from 1 species